UAUGAUGUCGAAUUUAAUACAAAAUAUCCUUGCCUCAAUAUGGACAGAGAGAAUCAUAACCGGCCUAUUUUCUAUGGAGUGGAUUGCUCACGUGCUCAAGAAUUUAUUUGUGAACAGAAAUCUACACGUGGGCACAACCAUUUCGGUGAUGCAGACAUCUUUGAUGAAGAAAUAGAGGCGAGAAUGUUUUAAUUAGAAGUUCUACAAAUUUUGUAACAUUGCGCGUAAUAAAUGAUGCCAAAGAUACAAUUUUGUGAACGCAAUUAUAGUUUAAAGGUUGUUAAUAAAACGAGACGAAUUAUU